rnacentral:rRNA from 1 species
UCGCCAGACUCCUACGGGAGGCAGCAGUGGGGAAUAUUGCACAAUGGGGGGAACCCUGAUGCAGCGACGCCGCGUGGGUGAAGGAGCACCUCGGUGCGUAAAGCCCUGUCAGCAGGGAAGAAAAUGACGGUACCUGAAGAAGAAGCCCCGGCUAACUACGUGCCAGCAGCCGCGGUAAUACGUAGGGGGCAAGCGUUAUCCGGAUUUACUGGGUGUAAAGGGGGCGCAGACGGCGAUGCAAGCCAGGAGUGAAAGCCCGGGGCCCAACCCCGGGACUGCUCUUGGAACUGCGUGGCUGGAGUGCAGGAGGGGCAGGCGGAAUUCCUAGUGUAGCGGUGAAAUGCGUAGAUAUUAGGAGGAACACCAGUGGCGAAGGCGGCUUACUGGACGGCAACUGACGUUGAGGCCCGAAAGCGUGGGGAGCAAACAGGAUUAGAUACCCCGGUA